UUAAGAUACGCCAUUAAAAUCUUCCAAGUUGAUUGUAAAACCGCCAAAAUCGGUUUUAAAUUUUGAUCGAUCUCAAAUAAAAUCAAGGACAAAAUCUAAAAGGAACAUAAAACUUUAAACUCAACCUUUCGCAAAUCGUGAUCUUAUUGGAAUCACAACAAACGUAUAUAACGGCUUCCUAUUUAUUAACAACAACAUUCUGCUUUAGCCACGAUGAGUUUAAUUCAUAGAUACGAUAAAUUGAGAAACAAAAUAAGAAUUACAACAUUAUUAAUACUAGUAAAUAUAUUUAGUGCAGAUUUAUUACCAACUAAAAGUGAUAGUAUAGGAGUAAUAUAUCCCGUGCUAGCUUCGCCUAUGAAUUCAAAAGCGCGUGUUACGGAGACAGCUAAAGACUUUCCAGUUUUGUUACUACUGGCCAACAAAAAUAAUCAUUAUAUGGAUGUGCCUAGAAUGGGAAAGGAAACGGAACUUAUUUAUGUAGAGAGACUAGAAGAACGCAUCAACCCCAGACAUGCAAUUUACUAGCAAUUUCCAUAUUUGAAUUGUAAUUUUUAAAAACUAAUUUAAAAAUGUGUUACCAUCUUUCUUUAAGGUUCUCAAUAAAUAGAAUGAUUAUCAUA